GGAGAUUUUGAGGGAUGUGCAGCUCAGCUGAGCCCUGGGGCCUGUCUGGUGUGUUUUCCUGCAGGUGGACGAGCUGUGUGCCCCUGGGCAGGUGAGGCUGGCGGCCACGCGCCGCUGCGCCGCCCCCGAGCGCCACGACUGCGCCGCCGCCUGCGGCCCCGCGGGAGGGCAGCUCCACACACAGCUGGGCAUAUGUCACUGCAGGCAGUACAUCUCUGCUGAGGAGCUCUGUGACCAGCUGUGCCUGCUGAGAGCCCCACGCAUCUCCCUGGGCUUUGGCACCCACAGAGAGCUGCUGCUGAGGGUCAACCAGGGGCAAGUGAGGGAGGUGUCCAACGUUCUGGGCCCAGAUGAGCACGUGCAGAGCAGCCAGAGGGUGCAUUUGGUGCUCUUCAGUCCCCAGGGAGUGCUGG